AAUAAAAUAUAUCUAAUAUCUUUCCAUAGAUUUUACAGGAUUACCUAGAAAAGCGCGAGCCUUUACCAUCCUAGUACUACAAAUCCCCAGUUUCCCAAACCCUUGCCGGUUACAUAGACAUGUUACCCUAACCUUAACCACAUUCCCUUUCCUUGUUACGAUUUUCAUUCGUUCACGCCUCAAAUUAAACGCGGUCGUUUUCAGUUCAGAGAGGAGGAACAUUUCGCUAAUGAUGUCAGAAACCUCUUUAGAAGAUUUUAUGUCGGCUCUGCAAAGCAACACGACAAACCUUUGGAUUCAAAUCUUCCAUGUUUUCCUCCACACCAUCGACCAACACUACCUUUGGCUUGAGCAAAACGAUGUACCGCUCGUCGUCAUAGAAUUAGAAGAGAACAGCACGACGGCGUGCAGAGAGCUCGGAGAGUAGGAAGCUGUAGCGGUUGUCUCUUGGGAUGCAAGUAUGCAACUGUUGGUGAAAUUUCUUUGCUACCUGAGAGCUGUAACACACUGCCUUCAAGCUGCUACAUCUGACUGAUGGAAUGGAACAUUAACAUUCACUGACAUCACUGAUGGAUGUACUUGGGACGACAGUUGAAAAAAUGUUGUUUGCAAAAUAACUUGUACAUGGGACAACAGUUGAAAUUUGUUAAAAAGAAUCUGAAAAAGUUGUUUUUUUUUUUUUUUGCAUUUCAAAAUUUGUAACUUAUGAUUAUAGCUUUUUCUCUUUUCACAAAAUUUAAUUCUGUUUAUGAAUGAUUAUGUGUAUAAGGAACUAUUGAAAUAAUUUAAAUUUUACAGUCAUCUCAAUGACACUA